UUUUACCAGACCCGGAAGGGCGCGGGCCUUAGUGGCGGACGGGUGAGUAACGCGUGGGGAACCUGCCCCGUACCGGGGGAUAACACCUGGAAACAGGUGCUAAUACCGCAUAACAGAAGGGGACGCAUGUUCCUUUCUUGAAAACUCCGGUGGUACGGGAUGGACCCGCGUCUGAUUAGCUGGUUGGCGGGGUAACGGCCCACCAAGGCGACGAUCAGUAGCCGGCCUGAGAGGGCGGACGGCCACAUUGGGACUGAGACACGGCCCAAACUCCUACGGGAGGCAGCAG
rnacentral:rRNA from 1 species